rnacentral:rRNA from 1 species
AUUGAACGCUGGCGGCAGGCUUAACACAUGCAAGUCGAGCGGAGAUGAGGUGCUUGCACCUUAUCUUAGCGGCGGACGGGUGAGUAAUGCUUAGGAAUCUGCCUAUUAGUGGGGGACAACAUUCCGAAAGGAAUGCUAAUACCGCAUACGCCCUACGGGGGAAAGCAGGGGAUCUUCGGACCUUGCGCUAAUAGAUGAGCCUAAGUCGGAUUAGCUAGUUGGUGGGGUAAAGGCCUACCAAGGCGACGAUCUGUAGCGGGUCUGAGAGGAUGAGCCGCCACACUGGGACGGGGGAACGGCCCAGACUCCUACGGGAGGCAGCAGUGGGGAAUAUUGGACAAUGGGCGGGAGCCUGAUCCAGCCAUGCCGCGUGUGUGAAGAAGGCCUUUUGGUUGUAAAGCACUUUAAGCGAGGAGGAGGCUACCUGGAUUAAUACUCUAGGAUAGUGGACGUUACUCGCAGAAUAAGCACCGGCUAACUCCGUGCCAGCAGCCGCCGUAACAC